AAGUCGAGCGGCAGCGCGGGGGCAACCCUGGCGGCGAGCGGCGAACGGGUGAGUAAUGCAUCGGAACGUGUCCCGUAGUGGGGGAUAACCCGGCGAAAGCCGGACUAAUACCGCAUAUGCUCUACGGAGGAAAGGGGGGACCCGCAAGGGCCUCCCGCUAUGGGAGCGGCCGAUGUCCGAUUAGCUUGUUGGUGGGGUAAUGGCUUACCAAGGCGACGAUCGGUAGCUGGUCUGAGAGGAUGAUCAGCCACACUGGGACUGAGACACGGCCCAGACUCC
rnacentral:rRNA from 1 species